rnacentral:ncRNA from 1 species
GCUAACUGCUCGGACCUUAUUUUUCAUAACUCUGUUAUACUUAAAAAGUGGAACAGCUCUCGAGUGAAUGGAUUACAAAUUAGAUUCGACGUGAUCGAUCGAUAAUAAAACGGUAAAAAAAAUUAUUUUUAACCCUAAAAGUUUGACUGGGGCGGUACGUCUGUCAAACGGUAACGCAGGUGUCCCAAGGCGAGCUCAGCGUAGACGGAAACCACACGUCGAGCAAAAGGGCAAAGGCUCGCUCGAUCUCGAUUUUCAGUACGAAUACGGACCGCGAAAGCGUGGCCCAUCGAUCCUUUCCGAACAGCGGCGAGCUAUGCGUCCGCCGAGAGGUGUUAGAAAGG